rnacentral:rRNA from 1 species
AUACGGAGGGUGCAAACGUUAAUCGGAAUUACUGGGCGUAAAGCGCACGUAGGUGGUUUGUUAAGUGGGAUGUGAAAGCCCCGGGCUCAACCUGGGAACUGCAUUCCAAACUGAUGAACUAGAGUACGGUAGAGGGGGGUAGAAUUCAGAGUGUAGCGGUGAAAUGUGUAGAUAUUCUGAGGAAUACCGGUGGCGAAGGCGGCCCCCUGGACUGAUACUGACACUGAGGUGCGAAAGCGUGGGGAGCAAACAGGAUUAGAAACCCCAGUAGUCC